AUCAUAAGUAGAAGUGAGGGCAGAGAGAGGGCAGGGGUGACAGCAAAGGUUACUGGGCAUGCUCAAUUCGUGUGUGCAUGCUCAGUGCAGCCAAAGUAGGGAAUCAGAAGCAGGAGCUGUUUCUGUCGUUACACCAGGGCACUACUAAAUGCCUCCU